GAUAUACAAAGGAAUUCAGUAUGAGGGGAGGGUCGGGAAACAUUUCACCCAGACAGAUGGUGCUUGAGCUACAUCUUAAAGGAAGAGAAGGACUCCAUGGGGUGGAGAUGAGGAUGAAGAACAUUCCAUAAAUGGGAGAGAGAGAAAGGAAGCCAGUAUGACUAGAUUGCAGCUAAAUUACACAGGCAGGUGAGUGAUGUUCAGUGAAGCUGAAAAGGUAGAUUGGACUCAGGUUGCGGAGGACUUUAAAAGGCAAACAAAGAUGCUUAUAUUUGAUUUUAGAGGCCAUCGGGAGUCACUGGAUGUAGCUGAGUAGGAGAGUCCUCUUUUCUGGAACCCAUUCAGAGGACUGGAUUCAAUUCUUGGUACUACAAUUUAAGAAGCACAUUGAUAAAUUGGAGGAGUAUCCAGGCAAUGGUUACGAGGAUGGAGGAAGAUUCUUGAGACUACGGCACAUGCUGACUAGUCCAAAGAACUAGGAAUGUUCAGCCUGGAGAAAACUCAGCAGGGACUUGGCAGCCAAAGAUCAAACUGUCUAUCUGAGUAGUGAGCUGUUCUCCCAGCAGUGAGUUCUGAAGAACUGCUCAGUAAUUUUCCUGCUCGCUGAUGAGACACCUUUCCAGCUUCUUCGAAAUCAAGAUGUUUCAAAUCUUCCAUAAAUCUCCAAGACUGAUCAGAGGGAAAGCCAGGAACAAUCAACCUCUGAGCCUCUGCCCCAGAAGUUAGACAUCUCUUCCUCAAUCAAAGAAGAAACAUUUAUUAAGAAUCUAUUAUGAUUUGAGAACUGUCUUGGGCCCUGAAAAUAGAAAGAUAAAAAUGAAAGAAUCUUUCUGAUGAAAGAGUUUAUCUUCUAUAGAAAAAGAUAUCAUGCAAAUACGAAUAUCUAAAAUAUAAAUAAAUAAAUAUUUAUU
rnacentral:lncRNA from 1 species